UAAUUAGAGGUGGKCMKGGUCRGGGAGAACGCGGCGGMGUGCCUUAAUACAUGCAAGUCGAACGAASUCUGGKAGUGAUUGGUGCCUGCAUCAUGAUUKACAUKUGAGUGAGGGGCGAACUGGUGAGUAACACGUGGGAAACCUGCCCAGAAGCGGGGGAUAACACCUGGAAACAGAUGCUAAUACCGCAUAACAACUUGGACCGCAUGGUCCGAGUUUGAAAGAUGGCUUCGGCUAUCACUUUUGGAUGGUCCCGCGGCGUAUUAGCUAGAUGGUGRGGUAACGGCUCACCAUGGCAAUGAUACGUAGCCGACCUGAGAGGGUAAUCGGCCACAUUGGGACUGAGACACGGCCCAAACUCCUACGGGAGGCAGCAGUAGGGAAUCUUCCACAAUGGACGAAAGUCUGAUGGAGCAACGCCGCGUGAGUGAAGAAGGGUUUCGGCUCGUAAAACUCUGUUGUUAAAGAAGAACAUAUCUGAGAGUAACUGUUCAGGUAUUGACGGUAUUUAACCAGAAAGCCACGGCUAACUACGUGCCAGCAGCCGCGGUAAUACGUAGGUGGCAAGCGUUGUCCGGAUUUAUUGGGCGUAAAGCGAGCGCAGGCGGUUUUUUAAGUCUGAUGUGAAAGCCUUCGGCUCAACCGAAGAAGUGCAUCGGAAACUGGGAAACUUGAGUGCAGAAGAGGACAGUGGAACUCCAUGUGUAGCGGUGAAAUGCGUAGAUAUAUGGAAGAACACCAGUGGCGAAGGCGGCUGUCUGGUCUGUAACKACGCGAGGUCGAAAG
rnacentral:rRNA from 1 species